GCGCUUGUUCUGAGGGGCCGAGGGUUCGCCUCGGAACUUAACCGGGGCUGUGAUCACAGGCGUCAGUUACUGUGCUGGCUGCUGUUACGAGCUGCUGCCGGGUUGUUUAGCCCAGGUGCUGGGCGAGGGGCACCGAGAGUCGGUGUUUCGGUCUGCAGCCUCCACGGUUUUGUCAGCAGUGCGGUGAUGGAGGGGUGUGCUCGUGUGGUAAGGGUAGUUAGGCCUGUGUUGCGACCAUUCCAGUUUUCCCACCUCACGUGUCAGGGAAGGAAGGAAAGUUAAUGGGUGAGUGAGUGUGUGUGUUUGUGUGUGUGUGUGUGUGUGUGUGUGUGUGACAGCUACUAUUGCUGUACUGUGCAGAUUAGUUUUAACUCUGUUGUAAUGAGUACACAGGCUGUUCAGUCAGCGGCCCCUUUAAACCUUGUUAGAAAAUCUACUUAAUUUUUAAUAAAUUAAGAAAACAAGUCUUUUAUUUCUUUUAUUCUUGCAGUUUUUGUGAUUAUGAGUGACAUUUGAUCAUAGCGAUAAUUGAACUGUAAGAUGGAAUAUUUUGAAAUUAAAAACAUUCAGUUUUUAAAACCAUGUUUCUUUGAAGGAAAUUGGCUUUCCUUAUAUAUGACUACAUGGUGGAAGAAAAAUAUCACGCAGAUUAAAAGCAUAAUUCAGAAUUAGACGUGAGACUGGUUCAAGAAAAUUUCCACCAAAAAAUUAUUAUUGGCACCUUUUUUUUUUUAAAAAAAGAGAUGUACUUAUAGUGUUUUGUAAUUAUUUCUAAAUUUUGCUUCAACUGUAUCCUGAGCUAAAUUAUCUUCAUUUUUUGUGUAUGUUAUCCUUAAUAGUUGCACAAAAGAUGAAAAUUGUAUGUAUAGGAAUUGGAAGAAAGGUGUCAAAUACAUUAUAUGGCUUUGGUAUAAAUUCUUAAUAGAAUGGAUAGAUAACUUUUGCUUUAAGUGAAUUUGCAUUUCUGAAUCUGCAGUAGGUAGUACUUAAUAGAAUAGGGCACAGAAAGGUUCAUUUUGAUGUUGAUAUAGAUGAGACUUUGGGGGGGGAUCUUGAGGAAUGAUUAUUCUUACUGAUUUAUCAUGCUCAUUGACCUCUUCUGCCAUUUGUCAACUUAAAAAUUAAUGAAAUUAUGUAAUUAUUGACAUUUUUAUUAUUAGCUUGUAAGCAUUAACACUAUUUUAACAAACAUGAAAAUCAUUUAUUCCUUAAAAGUAAAGUGCUGGGAUGGAAUGAAGAAAUAAUUUAUUUCAACCAGUGCCUUUUCUAUAUGUAAUUUAUCUUUGCCAUGUGGAGAUAUUGGAAAAGUGGGCAGAAUAUAAAGAUGAAUGAGACUCAGUAGCUGCCUUGAAGGGUGAAGCAGGCAUGCGCAGAAAUAAUUGCAACACCAAAUUCUUGUGGAUUUUAGUAGAGAUGCAUGGAAGCAUGAAGUGUGUGUGUGUGUGUAAGAUAGUAAUUUUUGACUAAGGAAUUGUGAAUGAGUACAGAGCUGGUAACACUCCAUCUGAGUCUUAAAAUAUUUUAAUAGCCAAAAUGGGAUCUGAGGGCAAUACUUUUCUAGUCGAAGGGAGUACUCUGAGCACAGGCAUGUGGUUGGAUAUUACAGGACCUGUUGAGCUGGACAUAAGGAUGCUGUACCAGGAGGUCCUUGUGGAAGAGGAAGCUGUGAAAGUAGGUGGAGAUCAGGCCUUGGAAGUCCAGAAUGCCUUGGCUUGAAAAAUGGGUCAGUUUGAGGUGCGAAGGUCCAAACGUGUAUGUUCUUUGCUGACGUUAGGUAAUCAAACAGGAAUAGCAAGUUUAAGGAAACAAAUUUUAUCAAAAAUAGUCAACUUGCCGUCUUUUAUGUUACUGAAAAGUAGAAAAGUAUAUGAACUAAAACAGUUUAAAUAUGGCUUUGUUAUAUUUUUGUACUUGCUUUUGAAUGUGGGUGUGCCGGGUAAUCUGGUAAUUGGUUUUACAUGAAAUGAAUCCAGACUGUAAAAAUGUGACUCAGGAACAAAUGGGACGCUCUCCAAUAAUUUCUUUGUGUUCCCUCUGAUCCAUCCUGCAAUCUCCUCUGUACUGGGAAUACACCAUUAUUAUGGUGUAGUUUUUGCUUCAUAUUUUUCCCCCCCAGAAUGGGAUAAGUGGUAGUUUCCUUUCAAAGGGCUUCCCCUAACAAUGUAUUAAACUAAGUAAAAAGAAUACUGAAAUGUAAAAUAAAACAAAUGAAAGGUCAUGGGAUAGUUCUAUUACUGUUAAUACAUUUGAGGGUGAGAUUUGUUGUGAUAAAGUGAAAUGUAAAGACUUUCUAAUAAAGAGCAUUCACUGUAACAGUGGAAUGAUAACAUGAGACAUGUCCACAGUUCCAGAUAAAUAUGUAUGAGGAUUUUGGUUAUGUUAAAUGACAGAUGACCCUAAAAUAAUUUAACCCCUAGCUUAAUCAUUAUCAAAGAAUUGCUCAGAAAACUACUACCCUCACAACUUCAGUUUCUGAGUACAUGAAGAAUCUUAAAGGAAGUUUUUUUUCUUCUAAUUAUUUCCCACUUAGCAUUCAGAAUUGUAACUGAAUUUGUGUUACAUUGAACUUUCUCAAAACCGCAGAAUCUGUUAUAAUCUACUCUGUACAGAGACUAUAAAUGAUAAUUUUAGGACAACUGUGAAUUAGAUGGUGUGACUCCCAUUUUUGAGAGCAAGAAAUAUUCUUCUGGCGUGUAACAUGUUGAAGAUACUUAUCUUGGGCGUAGGACAAUAUGUAUUUGAAUCAGCUUUUUCUUUUGUCUUACUUUAUAGUCUUAAACCCAGUCUCCCCCCAACUUUCCAUCUUUCUGUUGUUUCUCAAGCACUUAGCACACAGUGGUAUUAUUUGAUCCUGUUUAUAUGUGUGUGUGUGUCUAUUCAAGAUGUCAUUUCUUCAGAAGUAGAAGUUUUUUGGGUAUCUUUUUUUCUAAUUGUAGAGAUUCUAUAGUACAGACACUGUGGCACUUGUAUUUUAAGCUGUCUCAGCAUUACCUCUGUCCUGACCUAUGGGACAGAAUCAUACUUGAAAUUUUUAAUGUGUAGAAAUCAAGUAUAUAUGAUCCAUUAAUGUGAAGUGACUUUGGCACAGUCCCGAGCUAACUCAGAAAAUGUGGAAUAAAGGAGUUAUAUGUGGGGAUAGAUAAUUUUUAGAGACACAUUGGAAGCUGUUUUAGACUUUUUCUAGUCACUUUCUCAAGGGUGGAAUUUAGAAACUCUGAAUGUUGGAAUUCCCUCCUAUUAUGGAAGCUAAGGCAGGUAUGUACUGAUCAGUUUUUUGACUAUAGUAAGUGAUCAGUUUUAUUGUUCUCCUCUACGCCCUGCUUAUCAUCUUAGAAUUUUUUUUGGUACCCGGGAUCGAACUCUGGUCCUUGUGUUUGCACAGUAGGCAGCAAAACCACUGAGGUAAAUCCCCAGCCCAACAUCUUAGAAUUUUUGCCAAAGAACUUGAAGUGUUUAUGUUUGGGGGAUCAGAUAAACUUUUUGUCAUUUUCUUUAAGAAUGAUAUAUCAGUUACAAUUAAUGAAAAUAUGGCUAAUUCAUCCCCACUUUAAAAAUAACUUUUAAUGGAAUACUUUUUUCUUAAAUUUUAAAUCUUUGUCUAUAGUGUUAAUGUUAUAUUUGAAGUUGUAUUCAAAUUAGUUUAUUUAUUUAGAUGAUUUUGUGUUACCUGGAAAUACUUUCUUUAGCUGAUAGCAACACACAUGCACGCAUACACAUGUGUGUACAUACACACAGAGAGUGAAAGAGAAAUAUUUCUGCUAUUAUGUUCUUCAUCAAACUUCAGAAAAUACAUAUAAAGUCCCAAGGUAUGAUGCUGUAUAAGAUUUUCCUGCACUUCAAAAGUUGCUGAUAUGCAUGAAUUACUAGAGAGUUGAUUUGUGGGUAGAAAAACCAGAUUAUUGGGAAGGGCCUAUCACAGAAUGUCUUUUUUUGUUUUUUCCCUCUGGUACUGGGGAUCAAACUCAGGACCUUGUAUUUGCGAGGCAGGCGCGGUGCCACUGAGUUAAAUCUAUGGCCCCAGAAUGUCUUUUAUAUUGACCUCUCCUUUACCCACUCAUGACAUUAAAUGAUACUCUUCAUUCUGUGGAAUUAACUGACUAAUGCCCGUGUUACAUUGAGUGAUAGUAGACUGUUUUCUACCUUGCUCUUGAACGUUUUUCCCACUAGUUAUUGUGCCCAAGAAUCAUUUGUGUUUGUACUUGACAAACUGUUAAUGGCAGUUAUACUUGAUGUUGUAUUUACAUAAUUCAAUAAAGUAUUAUUCAGUUAACUCUGAAGACAAAAAGGCAUAUUUGUAUAAGAACCAGCAGACUACUUUCAAGACAUAAGAAUGGCUUAAAUUCAGUUACAAUUAAGUAGGUGAGGGUGAGAUGAUCUUUUUUUUGCGGGGGUGGUGGUGAGAUUGUCUUAAGUGAUUGAAAGCAAAAAGCCCCAAACAAUCUAAAAAAGAUUCUGUAAUAAGAUUGCUUUUCAGGUAUUUGUGUAAUUUCUUUCCAUGGUUAAGAAACUGGAAAUAUUUAAGAAGCUAGAAAAUUUUUGCAAGAAAAAUAAAGCAGCACUCUCAUCAGUAGACUCAUACCUUGACCUUGCAGUAUGAGAUUGCUUUGUGAAUGUAUCUUAUUUUGUUCUAGUUUCUAUGUUCAGGAUGGGUAGUUUUGCUUUUUUGGUGGUGGUUUUAUUUUUGUUAUUUAUUUUUAUUUUUUUGAGACCUUGUGUAUUCCAGGCUGUCCAUGAACUCUCCAUCCUCUGGCUUGGCCUUUCUUGAAUGCUGAGAUUACAGGUAUGGAUGUACCUCAACAUAUUUACCAUUUACCAGUCAAAACACACUUUUCCUGUUUGUGGCAGUUAUGAAUAAAGCUGCCACAUAAUAUUUCCAUUUCUCAUAGUAAAUUUGUAUAUUGUUGCUUGACUGUGACUGUGUACUAUGCAAGAUGCAGAUCUUCUUGGCCCUAUCUUCCUACCUUAUCUGUUUCAUUAAUAGCCAAACUUUUGUGAGUUGCAGUGUUAUUUUUCACACUGGUAAGGUUAAUGAAAUUUAUAUUCUUUUCUACAACAAUUAUGUUGGAUUAUUUUUGGUAACAUUGAUUCUGAAAUUUUUAUUUUUUUGAAUGAUCUGCUUCCCUCGGGUUUUCUGUUUUCUGGGGGUUUUUUUGAAGGCUUAUUUUUCUUUCACAUUAGUUAUCCUUGUCACUUCAUAAGUGAAUGAAGGAUUAGGUUAAUAUUUCUGGGUAAAUGAAAUGGUUUAGAUUUUCUAUUCUCAUUGGUUACAUUUGGAAUUGUCUGCAUGGAUGAAACUUUACUAUAAAUGUUUAGAGAGGAAGAACUAAUUUAUUAAUAUGCAUAUGUGUUAAUUAUCUUCAGUUACAGGCAUGAUGCUAAGUUCAGGGAUCAUAAAGUUACAGGUAAUAGAGUC
rnacentral:lncRNA from 1 species